GUGCGUCUAACAAGUAAUUAAAUAUUUUAUUGCAUUCGCGGUGUGAUUACCCGAAAAAUUACUUAUCUAGAGCGCUAAUUCAUACAUUAAUAGUUUGCUGUCAAAACAGUCAUAUGUUGUUGUCUCGUUUUCGCUCAUGCAAUAAAGCAUUGUAUUUCAUAUGGAGUAGGAUUCUCGCUGUCGCUCGAGGA